rnacentral:rRNA from 1 species
CCUACGUGAGGCAGCAGUGAGGAAUAUUGGUCAAUGGGCGAGAGCCUGAACCAGCCAAGUCGCGUGAAGGAUGACGGCCCUACGGGUUGUAAACUUCUUUUGUCAGGGAGCAAUUGGGUCCACGCGUGGGCUUAGCGAGAGUAACUGACGAAAAAGCAUCGGCUAACUCCGUGCCAGCAGCCGCGGUAAUACGGAAGGUCCGGGCGUUAUCCGGAUUUAUUGGGGUUAAAGGGAGCGUAGGCCGGCUGUUAAGUCAGCUGUGAAAGGCCGCGGCUCAACCGUGGAAUUGCAGUUGAAACUGGAGGCCUUGAGUGCACACAGGGAUACCGGAAGUCAUGGUGUAGCGGUGAAAUGCUUAGAUAUCAUGAAGAACUCCGAUCGCGAAGGCAAGUGUCCGGGGUGCAACUGACGCUGAGGCUCGAAAGUGCGGGUAUCAAACAGGAUUAGAUACCCGUGUAGUC